rnacentral:rRNA from 1 species
GAUGAACGCUGGCGGCGUGCUUAACACAUGCAAGUCGAACGCUGAAGCCUGGUGCUUGCACUGGGUGGAUGAGUGGCGAACGGGUGAGUAACACGUGAGUAACCUGCCCUUGACUUCGGGAUAAGCCCGGGAAACUGGGUCUAAUACUGGAUAUGACUUCCUACCGCAUGGUGGGGGGUGGAAAGAUUUAUCGGUUGGGGAUGGACUCGCGGCCUAUCAGUUUGUUGGUGGGGUAAUGGCCUACCAAGACGUCGACGGGUAGCCGGCCUGAGAGGGUGACCGGCCACACUGGGACUGAGACACGGCCCAGACUCCUACGGGAGGCAGCAGUGGGGAAUAUUGCACAAUGGGCGCAAGCCUGAUGCAGCGACGCCGCGUGAGGGAUGACGGCCUUCGGGUUGUAAACCUCUUUCAGUAGGGAAGCAGCCCUUUUAGGGUGACGGUACCUGCAGAAGAAGCGCCGGCUAACUACGUGCCAGCAGCCGCGGUAAUACGUAGGGCGCAAGCGUUAUCCGGAAUUAUUGGGCGUAAAGAGCUCGUAGGCGGUUUGUCGCGUCUGCUGUGAAAGCCCGGGGCUUAACUCCGGGUGUGCAGUGGGUACGGGCAGGCUAAAGUGCAGUAGGGGAGACUGGGAUUCCUGGUGUACCGGUGGAAUGCGCAGAUAUCACGAGGAACACCGAUGGCGAAGGCAGGUCUCUGGGCUGUUUCUGACCGCUGAGGACCAAAACUGGGGGAGGGGUGGAUUAAAAACCCUUUAGUCCAGGGGGGGAGUCCCCCAUGGAUAUUAGCUUUCGAUGCCGCCGACUCUACGGGGGACCCUGCCAGACAUUGUACUUUUACUACCGUCUAUUGUAGGCAUUGGCUUCAUCCUCUAUUUUUGUUUUCAAGAAUCCACUCCCCUUGAUGCGGGGCGAAGGGAAUGAGAACGCCC